GUUGAUAGCAGAAUAUUAUUUGAAUAUACCAAAUAGUGGUUAAAUUGGUUUCUAUAUUCAUUAUUGAUUACAUUUAAUGCUUAAAUAAGACAUUCAAAUGACAUUUCCAGUUGAGAUUUUAAGUCGAAUCAAUAGAAAUAACACCAUGAGCGCCAUGAGGUUCUUUGGAGUAAUUCUGGUCAUUUUAUUUACUAUAAUAGUAUCCUCAGGCGCAACUCAUUUGACUCCAGCUGAAACAGGAAGGUUGUGUGCACUGACUCCAAAACCAUCGAAAGGUACAUUUUGCGUUGAAAGACAACGGUAUUUUUACACAGAAAAUGAGGGAUGUGAGAAUGUCACCUUCAUGGACUGUGACAUUAGAAAAUCCAUAUAUUUGUACAGUUUUACCACAAAAGAACAAUGCGAAGACGUAUGCAUACGAAAAGCCGAAAAGAAGAAACCUAAAGGAGACUAUUCGCUGUAUUAUCUUUUCUAAUUACAAUAAAAUAUUUAUAAAAUUUUACUUAAGAUGUAUGUAAUUUUAUGAGUAAAUAUUGUAACUCAGCAAUUCGUGUAAGAAGGACAACUUCAUUUUAUGAUGGCAUAUAUGACGCAUUGACGGCAAUGAAAACAAGAAAGAAGAAAAAACAAAUAUAUUGAACAAGCAUAUACUCAAAAUUAACAAAUGUAAAAGUUUGUACAAAUACUUCCAGAUGUAAAGAAUGACAUGAAAUAAUAUUGGGCACAAAAUAUAUCGCUUUUGGUAUUGAUUAGGCAUUGCAAAACUUUGUUUAAAGUUAAAAUGGCAUGAGCAAAGAAGAACGUAAACAGACGCAAGUGUAUAAAAUACAUUCUUUAUCAGUGUCAAAAAAUACGGACUUGCUAUCAACAAUCAACUUUAAAAACAUUUGCAUGAUCAAUAUUGGUCAUAUCAAAGGCCAGCACGUUUCAAUAAAUUCGAUAAUGAACCUUGUAAAUCUUAACUUCUCACCAGAGAAACAAUCUCAAAAAUUUUGAAGCCGUUAUUUUGAAGUCUCGUACGAAAUGUUCGAUUCUUAGCUCAAUCUCGAAACAAAAAAAUUCAAUUUUAAUCGAAUAUAUUCUAAUGCGAGAAUUGUAAAAGAGAAAAAUAAAUAAAAACAAACUCAAAGAAAGCGGCGUUAUUUUGAGUAUUCUAUUGACAUUCCUAUCAUCAGAAUGUCAAAUGUUGAACGCUCGAUUUGAUUUGAAUUAUUUGCCACAUAGAAGUGAUUUCAAAGUCGUUUUGCGCCCAAUUGCAAACGCAAAGUAAUAAAGGAAAGACGCAAUAAGUGUGACACAAUGAAGUUAUUUUGUUUUUUUCUUGUCUCAUUGUACAUGUGCAGUGUGUUUAUUUCAGCACAAUUAACGGGGAAUGUAUGUGAUCAACCAGCACCAAAUGAAAACGAUGGAGUCGCAUGUGCAGCAACCUUUCAUAACUGGUUCUACAACGCAAAGACUGCAAAUUGCGAACAAUCCAUGUAUGGUCGAUGCAGAGGCAACGCAAAUGUAUUUGAAACUAAAGCCGAAUGUGAAAAGGCAUGCAAAAGGGUGUAAAAAUAUGAAAAUGUGUGAUGGAAAAAUCUCGCCAAGGCGUAAAUAAAAUAAAAUAACACAUUUUUUA